rnacentral:rRNA from 1 species
GUAGGGGGCGAGCGUUGUCCGGAUUUAUUGGGCGUAAAGAGCUCGUAGGCGGUUCAGCAAGUCGGCCGUGAAAGCCUGAGGCUCAACCUCAGGACGCCGGUCGAAACUGCUGUGGCUAGGGUUCGGUAGAGGAGAGUGGAAUUCCCGGUGUAGCGGUGAAAUGCGCAGAUAUCGGGAGGAACACCAGUAGCGAAGGCGGCUCUCUGGGCCGAUACCGACGCUGAGGAGCGAAAGCUAGGGGAGCGAACAGGGAUUAGAUACCCUGGUAGUCCUAGCUGUAAACGUUGGGCACUAGGCGUGGCGGACUCAUUGACGUCUGCCGUGCCGAAGCUAACGCAUUAAGUGCCCCCGCCUGGGAGUACGGUCGCAAGGCUA